AAUGUGCAUGUUGUAUGUGUACGAGAUUGGUUUCGUGGAUGCUCUACGUGUUUGUUUCUUGGUUAACUCCAGUCCUCCAUUUUAAUCUACAUGACUUGUACCUUCGAUAAUUAAGCGCACACAUAGUGUAGUAAUUAGUGUUAUGUGUUAUAGGUAUACUCCUCAGUCUGUCACACACCCCUUUGCUUGCGCUGAAUCCCAGUAGGAGUUGUUUACAGUUAAUACAUUUGUACAUGUGUUUAAUUUGUAAUGAUGACUGGUAUGUAUUAUGUACACUGUACGUGAUCAAUCAGCCAGUCCAUUGGGACAUCCCACUAGGACCUCCCUAUAUGGUAAUGUAUGCACACUCUGUUGCUAGGCUACGCACCCAUUCAAUUGAGUAGACUUUGAGUACUCAGGUAGGUUAAGGCAGCUUUUUAACAUUAAUGAAGUGUACUGUAUACAACUCAGAUUUAUUACCCGAGGCGCGCGUGGGCGGCCACGGGUAUAGUAGUCGUUUGGUUUGUCUGUUUGUCUGUUUGUAAUCUCUGGGUCUGCUCACCUGGCUGCCACAGCACUGCGUUUAUAGCAUGGAUAGCCUUCACACAGUAAGUUAUUAGUUUUAACAAUGGUAGAUUUCGAAGUUAGAGCUUUGUUGUCGAAUAAAAGCGAGCGAAAACUAAGAAGCUUGAACUUGCACAUUAGCUAGCUAACUACACGCGGCGGCCUUUAUUCGAGGCACUCUCCAUAUUUACAGCUGAAGUGAUCCCGUACCAAAAACAGUGGAAAAGGGUCACUACAAUAGAAAGCUAGAAUUUUGUUGUCUGUUAGCUAGCUAGCUAGCCUCGAUCCCAGGCCGAGUUUUCGCUUUUAUAACGGUUAGGCGAACAACUAGGCCUGGUACUAGUUGUCUGCGCAUGCGUCAGUCGUUCGUCAGAUUCUGACGAAUGGAUAUUCUCGUUCACUUUCUUCGUGUACUAUCGUGUACUAGAAGUCAGUUCCCGUUUUAUCAUUAUUGGAAUCGAUUGGAAUGGCUCUUAGCUGAAGCUUCUCUCUUCUCUGAAGCUUAGAAAACAUUAUUCUGAAGACUGAACAACAAGGGAAGAGGUAUAAAGCUUUGUCAAGCUUGUUAAGGAGCAAUGGCUACUAUCCAGCUAUCCCAAAAUUGUUCCUCUUGGCUGUACUAACGGACGAGACUGGACAGUUUGAGGACUGGAGUAUGACCUGCUCGUUUGAGCGUUGCUGGGUAGCUCAGAGGCAUCAAGAGAAUCUACGUUUUUUCAAGCAAAGUUUAACUGAGUUACGAGUUGGGGCCUAGAAUCAGAGAAGUCCAGCAGCCUGCUAAAUCGUUUUGAAACGUAAUUUGAAGGCAUUCAAUCAUCUUGAAGUUGCCCUGGGUCACUGUAAUCGUGCUACAGCACAACUGGCAACUCCCCAGGCCCUUGUGAAGCAGCUCCCUAUGUGCAUCUUUUGUGUACUCACUCUGUGCAUUUUCUGUGUACAAAUUUCUAUUAUUGAUUUAUUAAAUAUUUUUGCCGACCACAAAUACAAUGAAAAUUUGACACAUGCGCAGACAACUAGUACCAGGCCUAGUUGUUCGCCUAACCGUUAUAAAAGCGAAAACUCGGCCUGGGAUCGAGGCUAUUAGCUAGCUAGCUGACUCUGGCAUCCUCAGUCCUACUCUAUCCAAGAGUCAUACUUCUCUGAGAUUCCAGGCUUCUUUGCUGUGAUCCUAGACUAGGACCUAGUUCAACUCAUGUACCACUAAAACUCUGUUCUCAAUGUUUCAGCAUGCCUCCACAGUGGCGGAUCCAGGAAAAAUGAAAGGGGGGGGUCCAAAUUAACGAGCGCGCAGCGCGAGUAGUGAAAGUCGCGCGCAGCGCGAUUUUUUUGGGUUACGCCCACUUUCGGUCACACAUGGCUAGGGAAAUCCCAUACUCAGCCAGGGGAAGUCCCAUAAUAGACUUGCGUAGAGCUAGCUAGCUGCUACGAACAGUCAACUAGCUAGCCUAGGCUAACCUGAACACUCCUUUGGCAGUUGAUACAUCAAAACAACAGGUACAAUCAUUGAAUCAAAUUACAAUAGCUACAAAAACUGAUAAAUAGCUAGCUGGAGUCAUUAAUUAAGCCUUCUAAAGUUAACUUCAAAAGGGGGGGUCAAGGGACCCCAUGGACCCUCCUCUGGAUCCGCCACUGCUCCAGUCUGGUUUAGUUUUAUUGCUCCUGCCUGAGUUGCAGUGCUAGACAGCUCAGUCAUACAUCACUACAUUAUAUUUCUGGUUUCUUUAUAAUCAUGUCACCAGCCGAGGGUUUGCACUUUAGUGCUCUAGUUGUAUAAUAUCUUGACAAAUAGUACCUUUUUUCACCCAAAAUGUAUUGUGGACUUAAAUACCAUUAAUUUGAUAACACUAUUACCAUAGUUACUAUCUUGUUGUGUGCGUUAGCUGUGACCAAAAAUGACUGACCUUAACUAACAUUUUAGAAAUGCAGCCUCCAAUACUACUUUAUACAAAGCAAUAUUACUACCAAAAGAAAGCUAUUGGUGAUAUCUAAUAGAAAAAAGGUAACUAUUUGGUAUGAGGUCAUUCUAGCUCAGAUUACAGUAACUAAAUGCUGAAAAUGGAGAAAAUUAAUCAUUCAUAUGCAUACU